rnacentral:rRNA from 1 species
CAGUCGCCGCGGUAAUACGUAGGGUGCGAGCGUUGUCCGGAAUUAUUGGGCGUAAAGCGUGCGCAGGCGGUUUUGUAAGACAGGCGUGAAAUCCCCGGGCUCAACCUGGGAAUGGCGCUUGUGACUGCAAAGCUUGAGUGCGGCAGAGGGGGAUGGAAUUCCGCGUGUAGCAGUGAAAUGCGUAGAUAUGCGGAGGAACACCGAUGGCGAAGGCAAUCCCCUGGGCCUGCACUGACGCUCAUGCACGAAAGCGUGGGGAGCAGACAGGAUUAGAUACCCGCGUAGUCCCUGUCUCUUAUAC